CUGCCCCUUGGGGCCGUCGUUGCCGUCGCCGCUCGUGACGGUGACGGUGGCGAAGCCGCGGAAGUCACCCCAGGUGCGGGCCUUGGGGUCGGU
rnacentral:tRNA from 1 species